GAUGAACGCUGGCGGCGUGCCUAAUACAUGCAAGUCGAGCGAACAGACGAGGAGCUUGCUCCUCUGACGUUAGCGGCGGACGGGUGAGUAACACGUGGAUAACCUACCUAUAAGACUGGGAUAACUUCGGGAAACCGGAGCUAAUACCGGAUAAUAUAUUGAACCGCAUGGUUCAAUAGUGAAAGACGGUUUUGCUGUCACUUAUAGAUGGAUCCGCGCCGCAUUAGCUAGUUGGUAAGGUAACGGCUUACCAAGGCGACGAUGCGUAGCCGACCUGAGAGGGUGAUCGGCCACACUGGAACGGAGACACGGUCCAGACUCCUACGGGAGGCAGCAGUAGGGAAUCUUCCGCAAUGGGCGAAAGCCUGACGGAGCAACGCCGCGUGAGUGAUGAAGGUCUUCGGAUCGUAAAACCCUGUUAUUAGGGAAGAACAAAUGUGUAAGUAACUAUGCACGUCUUGACGGUACCUAAUCAGAAAGCCACGGCUAACUACGUG
rnacentral:rRNA from 1 species